ACCCUUUAAUGUUUGAUGUUCUAACGUUGGCCCGUUAUCCGGGUUGCGGACAGUGUCUGGUGGGUAGUUUGACUGGGGCGGUCUCCUCCUAAAGAGUAACGGAGGAGCACGAAGGUUGGCUAAUCCUGGUCGGACAUCAGGAGGUUAGUGCAAUGGCAUAAGCCAGCUUGACUGCGAGCGUGACGGCGCGAGCAGGUGCGAAAGCAGGUCAUAGUGAUCCGGUGGUUCUGAAUGGAAGGGCCAUCGCUCAACGGAUAAAAGGUACUCCGGGGAUAACAGGCUGAUACCGCCCAAGAGUUCAUAUCGACGGCGGUGUUUGGCACCUCGAUGUCGGCUCAUCACAUCCUGGGGCUGAAGUAGGUCCCAAGGGUAUGGCUGUUCGCCAUUUAAAGUGGUACGCGAGCUGGGUUUAGAACGUCGUGAGACAGUUCGGUCCCUAUCUGCCGUGGGCGCUGGAGAACUGAGGGGGGCUGCUCCUAGUACGAGAGGACCGGAGUGGACGCAUCACUGGUGUUCGGGUUGUCAUGCCAAUGGCACUGCCCGGUAGCUAAAUGCGGAAGAGAUAAGUGCUGAAAGCAUCUAAGCACGAAACUUGCCCCGAGAUGAGUUCUCCCUGACUCCCUGAGAGUCCUGAAGGAACGUUGAAGACGACGA
rnacentral:rRNA from 1 species